rnacentral:lncRNA from 1 species
AGCAUUCUCAUCAAGCAUAGCAUCAUGAGCAUGUCAUUCAUCCCAAAAUGUGAUUUUAUGUGUUUUAUUCCAUGUGAUUUAAAUAUGUUAAAAAUAUGAUGCUUGCUUCUAAAAUUGUGGAAUAUUCACACUAGGUUCAAUUGUGUGCAAGAAGAUUUAAGAAUAUUUUUGUGAAAUUUUUGGAGCCAUAGAAUUUGAGAAAUGGAAUUUAUACAAAAAUACCCAAAAUGAAUUUAUUUGAAAACCUAGAACUAGUUUUAAUUUGUAAUUCAAAUUCUAUUUGGAAUUUGGUCUUGCUUAUUAAAACAAAGUUGUAGGGUUUUUGUUUUGGAACAACUUUGCUUUAGGGAGAAAGAGGUCAAAAUGAUUUUUAAAUGGUCAAAAUGAAUUUAGAAAAGAAUUUGAGAAAAAAAAUUCAAAAAAAAUAGAAAAGGGAAAAAGGGGCGC